AAUGAGAGAAGAGUCGAGCAAAACUAAAAGAGGAAACUAAUCUAUCUCCCUGCAAAAUGCUGCCAAGCAACAUCGUCUAGAUCUUAAAUAUAAGAUCAAGCCGAAGUUGGUUUGCUGCACUUUGCUGGGAGAUUAGAUUAGUUUCCUCUUUUAGUUUGGCAGCCUCUUCUCUUAUU
rfam:Populus trichocarpa scaffold_5_contig_414, whole genome shotgun sequence.